UACGAAGGGGGCUAGCGUUGCUCGGAAUUACUGGGCGUAAAGGGCGCGUAGGCGGCCUUCUAAGUCGAACGUGAAAUCCCUGGGCUCAACCCAGGAACUGCGUCCGAUACUGGAAGGCUUGAAUCCGGGAGAGGGAUGCGGAAUUCCAGGUGUAGCGGUGAAAUGCGUAGAUAUCUGGAGGAACACCGGUGGCGAAGGCGGCAUCCUGGACCGGUAUUGACGCUGAGGCGCGAAAGCCAGGGGAGCAAACGGG
rnacentral:rRNA from 1 species